AGGGCGUCCUGACGGGGCGAGGGAGGCCGCGCCGGCGCCCGCUACCGCCUCAGGGCCGGGGCCGACGGCCCUCGCCCCUGAGGGGGAGCUCGCCUGGCAGCGGGGGAGGGAAGGGCCGGGGCGCGGCCGGUCUGAGGGGCGUAGAUUAGGCGGCAGUGGGGGCUUAGCAGCUGCUCUCCUCCUCGCCCCCGGCGCUCGGAGAAGCUCCCUCCCAACCUCUUGGUAUUAUAUCCGUUAUUAAGGUACCUGUAAGCCCAUAGGGCGUCUUCUCAGUAACAAGAGGUGUCCCCGGCCCUCGCCGGCCUCCGGUAUUGUACCGGAAUACGGGAGACAAGGUUUUGCUUGUCUUUCCCGUUUUUCAGGCCCUUGCCUUGGAGUGUCACAGCGUUGCAACAUGCAGGGUUUGGUUUAGUACAUUUUAGCCGCGCAGAGCGUUUCUGUUCUUUUUAAUUAGUUGGCAGGCAUUCUGUUUGAGCCACUCAGUAUGGUUAUUUUUUAAAAAAAUACGCAUUUAGGAGGCAGCCUACAUCUUGAAGGAACAGAAGGUGUUUUAAAACCAGAUUUUAAGUCUUCUGCUGCAUGGUCUGAACGCUUCCCUGGUACAUAUGCCAUCCUAGGGGUUAAUCCAGGUUCUGUUUUUUCAAAACACUGUAUUCAGAAAGUAUUAGAUUUUGUAAUUAGCCUGCAAAGAUCCUAAAUAACCAGAACCACAAGGGACUCACUCACUAUAUGCCUAGCUCAUUUAAUACUAAGCUUGAUUACACCAGACUACAAAGACAGAGCAAAGAAGGAACACUGGUACCUGGCAAGAAAGGAGACUUCCUAUCUUUCCUACCAAUGCAGCCCAUGCCAGCCAUGCUGUACAUCUGUUGCAAAAGGAAUGAAGACAGACAGGUUCCUUUAAGCCAUGCCACAAGCUCCCAUAUGUUAUGAGUAUCCUCAUUUUCUGGAAGCUUGACAGUGUUCUAAACCAGCAAAUGAACUCUUUUCUCAGCAGGGUCAUGGUUCACUGUUGGCAAUCCCUGAGAGUGCGCUUGCUGUACCAGUUGUGUAAAUGAAGCAGUAUUACCAGGAGCAAGGCACUUCCCUUGGCACUAAAUUCAAAAUGGCCCAAUGAAGCUGAUAUCCAGCUGUUACAGGAGAGCUGCUAAGAUUUGAUAGUGACUGGAGCGAUGACCAGGAUGGAGAUCAGUGAUGGACGACAGACUGAAGAACACAACUGGAGAAGGAGGGCUUGUAGUAGGAGAUAUAUCAGAAAACUAAGGAAUCUGUUGAAAACGGUGAUGUUUCCAAAAGACAGCAUGAGUACUGAAGGCUCAGAACUACCACAGCCUUUUUUCACAGGAGACAAAACCCAAAGGCUCUUUCUCUGGACAGUUUUACAGAAAACUGUAAAGCCAUGAACAGCAAGGCCUAAUGCAUUUCUUCACAAUCAUCUCUUUAAAGAGAAUGAGAAAGUUUGUCAUUAAAAGAAUAUGGGGAAAAUUACAGAACUAAGAGAUUUUCCUCAUGCAGAUGAUGCACUUGUAAGUCUUGUCUCCUGUCAGAGAUGACCCAAGACUCAUCCCCGUGUUUUGACUCUCCAGCGCAUGCCUUGCUUUGUCAAGACAGAAAACUCUUCCAGGCAUUUGGAACUUUCCAAGUGAGUGUUCUCUUCAAGUAACAAGCAUAAAACCACCAUCCUCCAUUGAGGGAAAGGGAAAGAGAAUGAGUGCUCAUGUGUUACACACACUGUCACUUCAUGCAGAUCUGAAAUCAAAAUUGAUCUUUCACACAAACAAGUUAUUACAAUUUAUUUUGUCAAAUAUUUACUGUGAGUAAAUUGCUUUCUGCCUUCUUAGCUUCUUUUAAGAAAUGCUAUCUAAGCUCAUGGUAUUUAGCUGUAGGGAAGGAAUAAAACCCAAACUUAAUACAAUAACUAAUCUUAAACACAUUAACUCUUAUAAGGAAAUUCUUAAUAUAUUGAAAAGGUCCCUGUGUCAAUAACAACAUUUACAGGUUUUACCUUAGCUUUUCAAAUGUUAUCUUGAUUUGCUCUUUUUCUCUUCAGAAGAAGACACAGAUGCAAACUAUUCUUGGGUAAAGACUACCGAUGUCUUUAAUUGUAGUAUUAAAACCAGUCAUGUGAGCGUAAAUCGUUUCCAUUGAACCUUAAGUAGUAAUACAUUAGUCUUUAAAUAUUUUGCAAGUACCACAUUGGAAGCAUCACAUACGAAAGUCUAUCUAUACCUAACUGCAGAACAACAAGUUAUACAUAGGAAAGUCAACACAUCUAUCUGCAUUAGCUGGCAAUUCAUUCUCAUUAGUAGCACACACACUGACAAAGCGCGAACACUGCGUUCAGGCAGGCAGAACUGAUGACACAAGCUGUCCUCCGCAGGAGGUAAUGAGCAGCUUCACCAAGGCACAGCUGGGGGUCACCCACAUGCUGAAUCCACCAAAGCCUAUGUUAAUACAACACUGAUAUUUGGCUUUUAAAAAAAUGCCGAUUGGUCUCUUUUAUGCUAGAAUAUCAUCCUAGGAGAAGAAAAUCCACUUUAGGUUCCUUUCAUGACUCUUGGUUUUUGUUUCAGUCCAAAAUAUAGACAUCCUUACUGGCUGUAAUGAAAAAGCUGCUAUGACAAAAUGAAAGAUAACCUGUACAGAGCUUUAUUCUUCUAUAAAGAAUGCAAAAUGAUACUGGGUAAUUCACCGCAAAAGGUAUCUAGGAAGGAGAAAUGAAAUUUGGAAAUAGUUAAUGGAUUGCUACGUUCAUUGCAACCUAAAACCAAUUUUUGACAUGCACAUUUUGCACUGUUUUUCUUGGCAGCCAACUGUUUUCAUUCUUACAAAAUUUAUUGUAUCAGGCUAAAUCUACAUGUGGUAUUCCAAGGCAAAGAUAUCGUGUGUAUUUAAAGCUUUUCAGGAUCUUGUAGUUAGAAAAAGCCCCAGUACUCUAAAACCUUCCCUGCAUUUUUAUUCUUUUCACUUAUAAAAAUGGGAUUUUUGCAAGACCAUGUGAUUUGGUAGUAUCUGAUGUAAGCAUUGGUGCUAAUCCAGUCAAGCUUUUGGGUUGAAGGGCUCAUGAGAGCAAUUAAGGAAAAGGAGGAGUUUUAAAAACUCAAAAGUUGUUUUGCCAAAAAAGUUGUUCUAGAUGUGGCCAUCCUAUAUGGGCACAGACCCUAAACAUGGCCUCGGCAGAGUGGUAUAGAAAAUACGCAGCUCUACCAUUCCGUAAGAUAAUAAAGAUUGCUUUAUGUCCAGUUAUUUCAGUGCGUGCUAGUUACACAGCUGUAGUUUAACAAAACCAUCAGAUGCUGCUCUUGAUAAUUUGUAUUUAUGCAGUUCCUGUGGUUCUAAAAAUAUCAAAAUUGAAAAAUGUUAACAGCUUUUGAAAAAACUGUAUGAAUUUUGACCACUUUGAGCUGUCAAAAAAAUCCCCAAAAUCAUUUUUACAUGACUGAGAGCAAACCCCCAACCUUCUGCCACAUGCCGUAUAGAACGCCAAAGAAUUCCAGUGACUUGUUAUUGAAAUAAAUUGAUCUGUGACUUUCUGACUCAUAGCCUGAUACAGGAGGUGUAUUAAAUUAUUCGGAAAGCAUUUUCGAGUGUUAAGUUCUUAUUUAUUACGAAACAGCUCCCUAGGGCAUGUUCUUCUGCGCUGCCUUGUCACGGGGUGUAGGCUUGACACUCGACAUGUUUACCAAGUCAGGUACACGCAGCCACAACGACACAUGGAACAACCUUCACCUUGGAGUUCAGGACUAUUUGCCCUUAACAGUUAAUCUAUGUAGACAAAUAAAGGAUAUAAAUAAUAUAAUAAAGGCUUAAUUUGUAUGUUAGUUUAUGAACAAAAAAUUGCAGAAGUCCCCAACUAAGAAAACUUUUUUUUGUACGAGUAUUAAUAUGAAUUUACUUAGAAUAGGAUUUAACCCCCAGAUUUACAAAGAAGUGGAGACUGCAUUUAACCCUAGAAAUAAUACGACAAGUUUUCCUGAAUUUGUAUAUAUAACUGAAGUGAAUUCAGUAGUUAUGCUUGCAUAACAAAGUUGAAUUUGGUUUAUUAUUCCACAUUUGAAACUAUGCAGUACAAAUUGCAAAAUUAAAAAUAUCCAGUAGGUGUCAUCUUCCUACAUAUUGUAGGUAUGAUAAUCAAGUUUAGAUUUUUUUUUUUAACUGAAAUGAAAAGUACGAGUCUUAGACACUGCAACAAGUUUUCUGAAGAACGCGCGUAAAAAAUGUAUGAAUUUGAUCUGAUACGCUUUACUAACACUAGGAUUUCUGGAAUAUUUGCAACCUGGAACUGUUUAUGCACAAAAUGAUUUGCAGAUAUCCAUGACUGUACUUACAUGCCUAAAUAAGAUCUGUAAAAUAUGCCUGUAAAUGCACGUUAUUUAAACCUGAAAAUCCAUUUAAUGGAUUCCAUUUAAUCCAUGUGUCCUUAAAGCAAUAUAAAUAUGUACUACAGCA